UCACCGUGUCAAGCUUGGCUUGUUGUUGGGCCCUUUGUCACCUGGUGACAGGUCCAAAAGAUAAUGACCGGCGUCGUACCGACCCUAUAUGCAACGAGCUGAUCACAGCACGCAUCUGGCGGUCUUGCGGCCUGGUCUUCACCCCUUUAUUUCUCAA
rnacentral:misc_RNA from 1 species